rnacentral:rRNA from 1 species
GACGUAGGGCGCGAGCGUUGUCCGGAUUUAUUGGGCGUAAAGAGCUCGUAGGCGGUCUGUCGCGUCGGCUGUGAAAUCCCGGAGCUCAACUCCGGGCCUGCAGUCGAUACGGGCAGACUGGAGUUCGGCAGGGGAGACUGGAAUUCCUGGUGUAGCGGUGAAAUGCGCAGAUAUCAGGAGGAACACCGGUGGCGAAGGCGGGUCUCUGGGCCGAUACUGACGCUGAGGAGCGAAAGCGUGGGGAGCGAACAGG